CCAUUCGAUACUGUUAGACUGGAGGGCAGUAGAGGGAGGUGGAAUUCCCGGUGUAGUGGUGAAAUGCGUAGAUAUCGGGAGGAACACCAGUGGCGAAAGCGGCCUCCUGGACUGUACCUGACACUGAGGCUCUAAAGCGUGGGUAGCAAACAGGAUUAGAUACCCUGGUAGUCCACGCCUUAAACGAUGGAUACUAGGUAUGGGGGGUAUCGACCCCCUCUGUGCCAAAGUUAACACCUUAAGUAUCCCGCCUGGGGAGUACGGUCGCAAGACUAAAACUCAAAGGAAUUGACGGGGGCCCGCACAAGCAGCGGAGCGUGUGGUUUAAUUCGAUGCAACACGAAGAACCUCACCCAGGCUUGACAUACAAGAAGUAGUGAACUGAAAGGGGAACGACCUGUUAAGUCAGGAGCUUGAACAGGUGCUGCAUGGUUGUCGUCAGCUCGUGCCGUGAGGUGUUGGGUUAAGUCCCGCAACGAGCGCAACCCUCGUUGCCAGUUGUUUUCUCUGGCGAGACUGCCCCGCAAGACGGGGAGGAAGGUGGGGAUGACGUCAAAUCAGCACGGCCCUUAUGCCUGGG
rnacentral:rRNA from 1 species